rnacentral:ribozyme from 13 species
UUUCCAGUUCUUCUCUUUUUCUUUCAUUUCUCCUUCCCUAUCAAAGAAGGGGAUUUGCCCACAGAAAGUUUUGAAGUUUUUGUGUGUGUGUGUUGGGACACACCCUUCAAGAGAACAAAAAUCUUUUUUUUUGACACAUCGAAAACAAAAAAACGAAAAAAAAAAAA